rnacentral:rRNA from 1 species
CUCCUACGGGAGGCUGCAGUGGGGAAUAUUGCACAAUGGGCGCAAGCCUGAUGCAGCGACGCCGCGUGGGGGAUGACGGCCUUCGGGUUGUAAACCUCUUUCAGCACAGACGAAGCGUAAGUGACGGUAUGUGCAGAAGAAGCACCGGCCAACUACGUGCCAGCAGCCGCGGUAAUACGUAGGGUGCGAGCGUUGUCCGGAAUUACUGGGCGUAAAGAGCUCGUAGGUGGUUUGUCGCGUUGUUCGUGAAAACUCACAGCUUAACUGUGGGCGUGCGGGCGAUACGGGCAGACUGGAGUACUGCAGGGGAGACUGGAAUUCCUGGUGUAGCGGUGGAAUGCGCAGAUAUCAGGAGGAACACCGGUGGCGAAGGCGGGUCUCUGGGCAGUAACUGACGCUGAGGAGCGAAAGCGUGGGGAGCGAACAGGAUUAGAUACCCUGGUAGUCCACGCCGUAAACGGUGGGUACUAGGUGUGGGUUUCCUUCCUUGGGAUCCGUGCCGUAGCUAACGCAUUAA